rnacentral:misc_RNA from 1 species
UCCCCCGUUCUUGCUCGCGAAAUCUUUCGAUCUCGUGUUCAAAAACGGGGGCGGUCUCGCGUGACACUUGUAACACACGACGAGGGUUGCGUUCGUUACCCCACUUAAGGGAACAGCUCAAACCACGAACUGACGACGGCCAUGCAACACCUGCCCUGCCGUCCGUGAAGACGUCUAAAGUUUCCUCUAGACUUCGUCAAGGCUUCAAGCCUGGGUAAGGUUCUUCGUUUACCAUCGAAUUAAACCACAUAAUCCACUGCUUGUGCAAGUCCCCGUCUAUUCCUUUGAGUUUUAACCUUGCGGUCGUACUACCCAGGCGGAUGACUUAACGCGUUAGCUUCGUCUCUCAGAGGGUCGAUACUCCGAAAAACCAGUCAUCAUCGUUUAGGGCGUGGACUAC